rnacentral:rRNA from 1 species
GACGAAGGGGGCUAGCGUUGUUCGGAAUUACUGGGCGUAAAGCGCGUGUAGGCGGUUGUCCAAGUUGGAUGUGAAAGCCUUGAGCUUAACUCAAGAAAUGCAUUCAGGACUGGAUGACUAGAGGACCGGAGAGGAUAGUGGAAUUCCCAGUGUAGUGGUGAAAUACGUAGAGAUUGGGAAGAACACCAGUGGCGAAGGCGGCUAUCUGGACGGUUUCUGACGCUAAGGCGCGAAAGCGUGGGGAGCAAACAGG